GGGCCUGUAGCUCAGUGGUUAGAGCAAUCGGCUCAUAACCGAAUGGUCCCUGGUUCAAGUCCAGGCAGGCCCACCA
rnacentral:tRNA from 1 species